ACAACACAGGAGGCGCAUUCAGUCACAGGAGCCCAGUCAACCUGGUGGUGGCCUCUGGUAGGGAGCCACUUUAGGAUUUCAAUCAGAAUGAUCGAGACAUGCUGCCAAGAAGCAGGAUAAAAAGCAACACGCCUCGGCUGUAAAUGAGCCGUCUGCCGCGGCCCUUAAACACCGGCAGGAUCCGGGGAAAGCCACCAGUCAGCGAGCCGGCCUGGUUCCGAUCUCCAAAAAACUGUUGGGACAACAGCCGACAGAGCCGAGGGCAGAAAACAGAAGAUCAGCUGCUGCAUCCAGUGUAGCUGUAAGAAAACAUAAACAUCUGCUGUGCAGCUCUCCUCACCACCAGUGUCAGGAUCCUGGUAGUUU